rnacentral:rRNA from 1 species
AUUGAACGCUGGCGGCAGGCCUAACACAUGCAAGUCGAACGAGCGGCGGACGGGUGAGUAAUGUAUGGGGAUCUGCCCGAUAGAGGGGGAUAACUACUGGAAACGGUGGCUAAUCCCGCAUUCCAUCAGAUGAACCCAUAUGGGAUUAGCUUGUUGGUGAGGUAACGGUUCACAUAGGCGACGAUCCCUAGCUGGUCUGAGAGGAUGAUCAGCCACACUGGGACUGAGACACGGUACAGACGCCUACGGGAGGCAGCAGUGGGGAAUAUUGCACAAGGGGCGCAAGGCUGAUGCAGCCAUGCCGCGUGUAUGAAGAAGGCCUUCGGGUUGUAAAGUACUUUCAGUCGGGAGGCGUUACCGGCAGAAGAAGCACCGGCUAACUCCGUGCCAGCAGCCGCGGUAAUUC